UCUGAGCGGAAGUAUUUCCUGUUGGUCGUUCUUGGCACUGGCGGAAUAAUCACGUGACAAGUAAAGUGGUUGUUCCCUUGUGUCAAUAAUGAACUCACGGAGUGUCGCCUAGUUCUAUG
rnacentral:precursor_RNA from 10 species